rnacentral:rRNA from 1 species
UACGUAGGGGGCAAGCGUUGUCCGGAUUCAUUGGGCGUAAAGAGCGUGUAGGCGGCCAGGUAGGUCGGUUGUGAAAACUGGAGGCUCAACCUUCAGAGGUCGACCGAAACCAUCUGGCUAGAGUCCGGGAGAGGAGAGUGGAAUUCCUGGUGUAGCGGUGAAAUGCGUAGAUAUCAGGAGGAACACCGGUGGUGUAGACGGCUCACUGGACCGUAACUGACGCUGAGACACGAAAGCGUGGGUAGCAAACAGG